rnacentral:rRNA from 1 species
GAUGAACGCUGGCGGCGUGCCUAAUACAUGCAAGUCGAACGAGGUGCUUGAGUAGCAAUACAAGAGUAUCCUAGUGGCGAACGGGUGAGUAACGCGUUGGUGACCUACCCCAAAGUGUGGGAUAACAGUCCGAAAGGAUUGCUAAUACCGCAUGUGGUUAUUGGAUUUAGAAACUGAUAACUAAAGGAGCAAUUCGCUUUGGGAGGGACCUGCGUCCCAUCAGCUAGUUGGUGAGGUAACGGCUCACCAAGGCGACGACGGGUA